rnacentral:rRNA from 1 species
AUGAUAGGUUUUGAAAAAGAUUUUUCAUGUCAUUCCCAUUUAGGUUCGAUUCGGAUCCCUCUGUUGUUUCCCUUUCCUCCCGAACCUUUUCCUCAAAAUGAUAAAGAAUCUGGUACACUCGAAUUGUAUUAUUUAAGUGCUUAUUGCUUGCCAAAAAUCCUACUUCUACAAUUGGUAGGUCACCGGGUUAAUCAAAUAAGUCGUGUUUUCUGUGCUUUUCCCAUGUUACAACUUCCGUACCAAUUCGAUCGAUCCGGAAUGGAUCGGUUAAACAUUCUAUUAGGGGGCCCGGUCUUGACUCUUCUGUGUGGUAUUCAUUCUCGUUCGGCUCUUGGAAUCACAUCCAGCAGUGGUUGGAACAGCUCGCAAAAUCCAACCACUUCACCUACUUUAUUGCCAACCGUUUCCCGUACCUCUAUAGAAACAAAAGGGUUUCAUGUUCUUUCAUCGAUUGGGUAUUCCUCUCCUUUUGUAUCUCUUUAUCCAAUUUCGGUCUCGAUUAGUUCACAAGAUUGA